CCGCCCCCUCCAGCACCCCCCGCGGGCUGGCCACCCGGGCCGCCGCCAGCGCAGGCAUCAGCGAGCGCACGCGGGCAGAGGGCGCGACGCCAGCCGGGACCCUGGGGAUGCUGGCCCGGGCGCUUUUAAGACGGACUCUAGCCGCGGGCGACAGCACCCUCCGCGCCCCCCAUCAGCCCCGCCUCUCUCCUGGCAGCGGCGGCCGAGGCGCGGGGCGGCGAGCUCUGGGACGCGCCCAACUUGGAAAGCGUCUCUCUCGUCCCAACGGCGCGCUACUUCUCCGGCGAGCGCGGGGCGCCCGGGCACUUGCUGCCCCCGCCCCUGUGCGCCGGCGGCUCCCGGCUCGCCCUCCCCUGCGCCGAGCAAUCGCCCGGCUCUCCGCCGGAGCCUUCCCACGGGUCCUUGGCUGGGAAGGACCGGGAGCGGUGGAGAGGGAAGUUAGGGCUUCCGCUUUCUCUCCGCACUCCAGCGGCGGCGUUCGGUCCUCUGGGUGGGCUGUGCUCGCAGCAGCAGAGGCGGCGGCAGCAGCAGAUGAGGCGCCCGAGCCAGGCACCCCGCAGCCGGGAAUGAGCGGAUGGCCGGGGAGGAAGCGACUGGGGUGAACCAGCCGGGUGAAGUCCCAGGGCCGCAGAGCUGCGCCGGGAAUCUGUCCUGGAAGAGCCUUCUCUUCUCCCUGGACACUUUAAGCGGCGGCGGCGGCCGGCGGCGAAAGGUUGCAGACCGGACAGCGAGCCUCCCCCUUUCCGAUGUGGCUCUGGCCGCCGGAGAACACAAGUGAGCAAGAAGUGCCAGGCCGGGCCAUCCCCUUCAGGGAAGCAACCACUUCACUAAAAGAUAUUUGCCAUAAUUCUGCAAUUGGACAUUCCGGACACCAGAACAGUUUCUCAGAGAUUGGAAAUAUUGGAGUCUACACAAAAAUCGAUGUUCAUUUACAGGAAAAGCAUGCAUGCCGGGACUGAAGCAGUGACUUAUGCUAUGACAUAAUAUGUUUUUGACACAAAAAGUACUUGUCAAAAAUCAAGAUUCGAAAACAGUCAUUCUAAGUGUUUUAAGGGGAGCGAGGGAAACCUGGCUUUCAUGUCAAUAGUACAGCUGACAUAAAUAAUGAUGGAAAACUGACAGCUACCAGAUAUGAUUUACCAGUAGAUGCUUCAAAUCCCUAAAAAAUGAAAAGAUAUGUAUCGAGUACCCAGCAUGUGCAGGAACUGUUCAAGAUUAUGGAGAUGCAACAGGUACACCGACAACAGGAGAGGACUGGCUCAGAGAGGACAAGACUACAAAUCCUGCUAAACAGAAGACAUCUACAAGUUCCGCAUGAUGAGAGACAAGGAGGCUGGUUUGCAAAGGUCAAAG